UUAUUUAAUUUUUAAUACAGAGGACUUACUUAUUGUAUCAUUUCAUUUAUAUUACAGAGAGCUUAUCAGGUGGGGAAGCCCCAGGCCAUUUUACCACAAUAAGAACCUCUUCUUCUAAAAUAGAAAAGCAGAACAAGCACAUACAGUCAUGUUUUUACCCAGUAGUAAAAGUGAUCACACGCACCACACCCAAAGAAGAGCAGGGACCUGGGUAGAGACCUCUAAAAGCACAGCCUGCAGAUCAUAACACCCAAGGAUCAGAAGACGGACGGGACAGAACAGAAGGGUACGAUUCCUCGGAGGAAAACAAGCCACAUACCUCUGAGAAACUCACAUGUAAAAAGACUAGGAUUCACACCCCCAAAACAGGUGAUCUGAACCCUGUGAAUAAGAAACCCAGGACUGAUUGCUUGCACAAUUUACAAAAAGAGGAGAGUCUUUCUCCUUUUUUGAAAGAUCAUGAUUAUUGUGAAAAAAGAAGGGGGUUUGGCGUGGUACACACAGGCGUAUACGUCUCAGAAAGAGUG